rnacentral:sRNA from 1 species
AAAAAAUCCCCAUCAGAGUCGUCAAGUACCACGAAGCAAAUCCUGGUGUAUACGCAAUUAUCACGUUUCCAUUCCUUUUUUUGCUGGUGACUAGGGUCAUGGCAUAUGCCUACUACUGGCUGCUUUGUGUCUUGUAGUCAUAGAGAAACAAUUUUCCAGUCAGCUACUUAACUCAAAGUCAUUGAUUUUUUGUAGUCAAUCCGAAUAUUUCCUCCUAUUUUAUUUUAUGCCUCUAUCAUUUUGUUCAAUGUUGUUAAUAACGACAGAAACUUGGAGACUUAAUGGAAAUGGC